ensembl:snoRNA U3 Small nucleolar RNA U3
AAGACUAUACUUUCAGGGAUCAUUUCUUUAGUUCUUGACUUGAGAAAUGUGUUUCUAAAGAGUUUGGUCUCGCUGCCCACGAUGAAGAGAUCAGAUGUUUUCUUCAGAGCGGGAAACUGGUGGGAAGACUUUGUUUUUUCUCCACUGUUGAUGAUUGUUCAGAGUUUCUUAAUGAGACUCUAAUGGAGGAAACAUGGUCUGAGUGGA